rnacentral:ncRNA from 1 species
GAAACUAUUAAGGAUAAUUAGCUAUAUAUUAAAGAAAUAAAUCACUAGAAAAAUCUAGGAUUCUAAGAGAAAUCAAAUAAUAAACGAAGUGAAUUGAAAUAUCUCAGUAACUUUAGGAAAAGAAAUCAAACGAGAUUAUUUAUUAGUGUAAACUAAUAAAUAAAAGCCUAUAACAAAAACUGUUAAGUAAAAUGGAUUAAAAUCUGUUUGAGUAAAGGAGAACCUUCUUCUAAGGCUAAAUAUGAUAUAUAAGCGAUAGUGAAAAGUACCGUGAGGUAAAAUUUGAAAUAGUAGUUUUAUAAGCAGCUCGAAAAAAAUUUAAAUAAAAAAUAAGAGCGUACCUUUUGCAUAAUGGGUCAGCAAGUUAAUUUUAGAUGCAAGCAAAGAUUAUAAAGUAAUUAGCUUAGAUAAACCAAUUAUGAAAAAAUGAAUAAGUAUCUAAAAUUAGACCCGAAGGCUAGUGAUCUUACCAUGGUCAGGGUUGUAAAAGCCCGAACGGGUUAUCGUUGUAUAGAUAUCCGAGGAACUGUGGUAAGUUAGUGAAAGACAAAACUGACUAGUAUAGCUGGUUUUCCGCGAAACCUAUAUGAGUAGGUAAUUCUAUUAACAUCUUAGCAGGUACAGAACUGUGAUCUCGGAUAAUAUCAAAUGAUUUUAUCAACAUCGGGGGGUUGUAGUGACUUUACUGGAGAGUAUUUGCACUCGGAAUGGCAAAGAUGAAUGUAGAAUAAUCGGACAUAGUGCGAUAAGGUUGUAUGUCAAAAGGGAAACAGCCCAGAACAAGAGUUAAGGUUCCAAAAUUAUUAUUGAGUGAAAUUAAGGAUGUUUUUUAUUAAUACAAUCAGGAAAUAGGCUUAGAAGCGGCCAUUUUUUGAAGACCUCGUAACAGAGCACUGAAUAAAUUUUAGUAAUAAACACCGAAAAUUUAACGGAUCUAAAUAAUAUACCAAAACCUUGUACACAUAUUAUAAUAUAUAUAUUAUUAUAUUGUAAAUGUGGGGUAGCGGAACAUUGGAUAUAUAUUAUUUAUUAUUACUUCAAAGAUAUAAUAAGUAUAAAUAAUUAAAAAAAAAAUUUUUUAAUAAAAAUAAUUUAUCAAUAUAAUCCAAGAGAGAAUGCUGACAUGAGUAACGAAAAAGGAAUAACCUCGCCUUAAGCUUAUGGUAUUAUAUUUAAUUUUCGGUAUCUAAAUAUAUUAAUCAAAUGGUAAUUUUGAUGAUAUUUAUAUAUAUAUAAAGUAUUAAAAUCAAUACUACCUUAUAUAAGUAAAAAAUAAAACCUUUAUCAAGUAAUAAAGGUUCUGGAAAAAUUUAUACUAAACUAUAUAUAUAUUUUAAUAAUAGUUAUAUAAUUUCUUGUUAAAGUUUUCAAGAUUGUAUAAAGUAUAAUUUUAUUAAAUUAUACAGUAAAAUAUAUAUAUAAUAAGGUUAUAUAUAUACCGUACCUAGAUACUAUCACAAGUAAGCAAGUAGAGAAUACAAAGGCGUUUGAGUGAACAAUCAUUAAGGAACUCGGCAAAUUGACUACCGUAACUUCGGGAUAAGGAGGGCCAUUAUUAUAAUAUUUAACAUAUAUAUAGAAAUAUGUAUAUGAUAUAAUUAAAUAAAUAAUAAGAGGAAACAUAAAAUAAUGUUGUACGACUGUUUAAUAAAAACACAGCACUCUGCAAAGAUAAAAUAUCAAAGUAUUGAGUGUGAUGUCUGCCCAAUGUCGGCAGGGUAACGAAUAUACCUUAGUAUAUAACUAAGGUAUCGUAGGAUACCCCGAUAAAUGGCGGCCUUAUCUAUGAGGGUCCUAAGGUAGCGAAAUACCUUGGCCGUUAAAUGCGGUCCUGCAUGAAUGACAUAACGAUACAACAGCUGUCUCGAUGAUUGUCUCAGUGAAAUUG